UACGGAGGGGGCAAGCGUUGUUCGGAGUUACUGGGCGUAAAGCGCGCGUAGGCGGUGCGGUAAGUCAGGGGUUAAAGGCUGCAGCUCAACUGCAGUAAGGCCUUUGAUACUAUCGCGCUAGAGUACCAGAGAGGAUGGCGGAAUUCCCGGUGUAGCGGUGAAAUGCGUAGAUAUCGGAAGGAACACCAGUAGCGAAGGCGGCCUUCUGGGCCUGUACUGACGCUCAUGCACGAAAGCGUGGGGAGCAAACCGG
rnacentral:rRNA from 1 species